rnacentral:rRNA from 1 species
AGAAUCAACGCUGGCGGCGUGCCUAACACAUGCAAGUCGAACGAGAAAGUGGAGCAAUCCAUGAGUAAAGUGGCGCACGGGUGAGUAACACGUGACUAACCUACCCUUGAGUGGGGGAUAACCUAGAGAAAUCUGGGCUAAUACCGCAUAAUACCUUCGGGUCAAAGGAGCAAUUCGCUUAAGGAGGGGGUCGCGGCCGAUUAGUUAGUUGGCGGGGUAAUGGCCCACCAAGACUGUGAUCGGUAUCCGGCCUGAGAGGACGCACGGACACACUGGAACUGAAACACGGUCCAGACUCCUACGGGAGGCAGCAGUGGGGAAUUUUGCGCAAUGGGGGAAACCCUGACGCAGCAACGCCGCGUGGAGGAUGAAGUCCCUUGGGACGUAAACUCCUUUCGAUCGGGACGAUUAUGACGGUACCGGAAGAAGAAGCCCCGGCUAACUUCGUGCCAGCAGCCGC